rnacentral:rRNA from 1 species
AUUGAACGCUGGCGGCAGGCUUAACACAUGCAAGUCGAGCGGAGCCUUCGGGCUUAGCGGCGAACGGGUGAGGAAUGCCUGGGAAUCUGCCUGUUAGUGGGGGAUAACGUUCCGAAAGGAACGCUAAUACCGCAUACGUCCUACGGGAGAAAGCAGGGGACCUUCGGGCCUUGCGCUAACAGAUGAGCCCAGGUCGGAUUAGCUAGUUGGUGGGGUAAAGGCUCACCAAGGCGACGAUCCGUAGCUGGUCUGAGAGGAUGAUCAGCCACACUGGAACUGAGACACGGUCCAGACUCCUACGGGAGGCAGCAGUGGGGAAUAUUGGACAAUGGGGGAAACCCUGAUCCAGCCAUGCCGCGUGUGUGAAGAAGGCCUCGGUUGUAAGUA